rnacentral:rRNA from 1 species
UAGGGAAGAAGAAAGUGACGGUACCUAAUGUAAGCAUCGGCUAACUCCGUGCCAGCAGCCGCGGUAAUACGGAGGAUGCAAGCGUUAUCCGGAAUCAUUGGGCGUAAAGAGUCUGUAGGUGGCCCUUCAAGUCUGCUGUCAAAGACCGAAGCUCAACUUCGGGCAGGCGGUGGAAACUGAAGAGCUAGAGAGAAGCAGGGGUAGAGGGAAUUCCCAGUGUAGCGGUGAAAUGCGUAGAGAUUGGGAAGAACACCAGUGGCGAAGGCGCUCUACUGGGCUUCGACUGACACUCAGAGACGAAAGCUAGGGUAGCGAAAGGGAUUAGAUACCCCCUGGUAGU